rnacentral:rRNA from 1 species
GUGGGGAAUAUUGGGCAAUGGGCGAAAGCCUGACCCAGCAACGCUGCGUGAAGGAAGAAGGUCUUCGGAUCGUAAACUUCUAUCCUUGGUGAAGAUAAUGACGGUAGCCGAGAAGGAAGCCCCGGCUAACUACGUGCCAGCAGCCGCGGUAAUACGUAGGGGGCAAGCGUUGUCCGGAAUGAUUGGGCGUAAAGGGCGCGUAGGCGGCCUGGUAAGUCUGGAGUGAAAGUCCUGCUUUUAAGGUGGGAAUUGCUUUGGAUACUGUCGGGCUUGAGUGCAGGAGAGGUAAGUGGAAUUCCCGGUGUAGCGGUGAAAUGCGUAGAGAUCGGGAGGAACACCAGUGGCGAAGGCGACUUACUGGACUGUAACUGACGCUGAGGCGCGAAAGUGUGGGGAGCAAACAGGAUUAGAAACCCGAGUAGUCC